rnacentral:rRNA from 1 species
GAGGAUGAUCAGCCACACUGGAACUGAGACACGGUCCAGAACUCCUACGGGAGGCAGCAGUGGGGAAUAUUGCACAAUGGGCGAAAGCCUGAUGCAGCCAUGCCGCGUGUAUGAAGAAGGCCUUCGGGUUGUAAAGUACUUUCAGUUGUGAGGAAGGGUGUGUAGUUAAUAGCUGCGCAUCUUGACGUUAGCAACAGAAGAAGCACCGGCUAACUCCGUGCCAGCAGCCGCGGUAAUACGGAGGGUGCGAGCGUUAAUCGGAAUUACUGGGCGUAAAGCGCAUGCAGGUGGUUCAUUAAGUCAGAUGUGAAAGCCCGGGGCUCAACCUCGGAACUGCAUUUGAAACUGGUGAACUAGAGUACUGUAGAGGGGGGUAGAAUUUCAGGUGUAGCGGUGAAAUGCGUAGAUAUCUGAAGGAAUACCAGUGGCGAAGGCGGCCCCCUGGACAGACACUGACACUCAGA